rnacentral:tRNA from 1 species
GGGGGCGUAGCUCAGUUGGUUAGAGCGCCGGCCUGUCACGCCGGAGGCCACCGGUUCGAGCCCGGCCGUCCCCGCCA